CAACGCUGCUACAGACCUCGACAAAGUGAGGCGCGAAUACCUCGAAUUGAGCUGGCAGUUCAAACUCUGGGUACAUUUCACGCGCCUUACUCAGUGUACAUCUCACGAGCCUUGAAGACUGAAGAGAACAAAUCUGCGUAUCUAGGAGAUAGAGAGACAGACGACCACAACCCAAGGGCUUAACCCCGACGACGACGACCUAGGUGGCCACCGACGACAACGAAGACCAUCGUUGAGCAUCAACCAUGGUCUAGCAGCCUCCAAUUCGUCCAGUUUCUUUGAAAAGUUCAACCUCCAACGACCAACAAGCAACUGAUUCAAGGAUAUUGCAAGUGCAGAACUUGCUCCAACACAUCCAAUCCGGCUUGGACUUGCUCUUAACUUUUUUGUAUUUUACUAUGAGAUUUUGAAAUCUCCUGACCGUGCUUGCAAUCUUGCCAAACAGAGCAACAAAAUGAUGGAAGGGUCAAACAAUC